UACGAAGGGGGCUAGCGUUGCUCGGAAUCACUGGGCGUAAAGCGCACGUAGGCGGCUUUCUAAGUCAGGGGUGAAAUCCUGGAGCUCAACUCCAGAACUGCCUUUGAUACUGGAGAGCUUGAGUCCGGAAGAGGUGAGUGGAAACUCCGAGUGUAGAGGUGAAAUUCGUAGAUAUUCGGAAGAACACCAGUGGCGAAGGCGGCUCACUGGUCCGGUACUGACGCUGAUGUGCGAAAGCGUGGGGAGCAAACAGG
rnacentral:rRNA from 1 species